UAACAACGUCGUGCCGACUUAAAUAUUCUGACGUGAAACACGUAAUCCUUACUCCUUCGAAUCGGAAAUUUCAAAUAAAACGCCAAAGAAGGAAAGAAAGAACCCAAUCAGAGAAAGACUUGUCAGGACCAGAGCGGAGACAGAGCCUCGCAGAGAGAAGAAAGAAACAGCUCAAAGCGCUGUCGUUUCUGUUCAUUCUCUCGUUUUGGCGCGAAAUGAAUAAAUUCCUCCAUUCAUUUCCUGCGCUGUAAAUCUAACAACCUCAGUUUUGUAGAAAAAGAAUUGAUUUGAUUUUGAUUAGCAAUUAUUUGACUGAUUUUUUUAUAUAUAAAUUCAAUUGGGAGAGAGAUGGGAGUAUCGGAGAAUUCAAGAGGGCUAAUUCUAGCUGUGGCAUCGAGUGCAUUUAUAGGGGCGAGCUUCAUUUUAAAGAAGAAAGGACUCAAACGAGCUGGUGCUAAUGGUACUCGCGCAGGGGUUGGAGGUUAUACUUACUUGCUAGAGCCGCUAUGGUGGGCAGGAAUGGUGACAAUGAUUGUUGGGGAGAUUGCGAAUUUUGUGGCUUACGUUUAUGCUCCAGCAGUUCUAGUUACCCCGCUUGGUGCACUGAGUAUAAUUAUAAGCGCGGUUUUGGCACAUUUUAUGUUGAAAGAGCGGCUGCAGAAAAUGGGUGUUGUAGGAUGUGUAUCUUGCGUUGUAGGAUCGGUAGUGAUUGUAAUCCAUGCGCCUCAAGAGCAUACACCUAGUUCUGUACAAGAAAUCUGGACUUUGGCAACCCAAACAGCAUUUCUAAUAUAUGUAGUAGCUACACUUUCAGUAGUGUUAGCUCUGAUUUUGUACUUUGAACCGCGCUGUGGGCAGACAAACAUAUUGGUCUACUUGGGAAUAUGUUCUUUGAUGGGUUCAAUAACGGUUGUAAGCAUAAAAGCCAUUGGAAUUGCAAUAAAGUUGACAUUGGAAGGGAUAAAUCAGAUAGCUUAUCCUCAGACUUGGUUUUUUCUUUCAGUUGCAGUGAUCUGUGUCAUCACACAGUUAAAUUACCUGAACAGGGCAUUGGAUACAUUCAAUGCAGCAAUUGUUUCUCCGGUGUAUUAUGUAAUGUUUACAACUCUCACCAUCAUUGCCAGUGCCAUAAUGUUCAAGGAUUGGUCGGGCCAAGAUGUGAGCAGCAUAGCCUCUGAGCUUUGUGGAUUUAUCACUGUUCUUUCAGGAACAAUCAUACUUCAUGCAACAAGAGAACAGGAACCAGCUCCGCCACUAGGAACUGUAACAUGGUAUGUUAGUGGGGAUUCCCUUAAAGGUAUUGAAGAACAUUUAAUCACUGUACAGAGUUCAGAUGAGCAAUGAGCUUUUUUUUUUUUUACUUUUGACUGGGAUUUGAAAAGAUGGUCUCCCACCAUUGAAGCAAGAAAGCAACCAAGCAACCAAGGGUGAGAUGUAUUUGCACAGUGAGGAGCUCUUCUUUCACCCGGCGAAUUCUUUCGUAUCAAUACUGGGCUGCUUCUAUGGAUAUCAUUUAUUGACAAGGCGUGAGGUGGCCCUCAAUGGAAAGAGUCAUUCUCACCUGAAAUGCCCAAACUUUUCUGAAACUUUGAACAUGCAUGACGGCGUGGAAUCAAAACCAGUGCAAGGAAAGAUGUUGGGCCAGGUCCAUGAUCUUACCUUGCCCAUCAUGGAUGGCACUUGUACAUUUUGAGCUCGACUUACCUUCUGAAGGAAAAAUCGACAGAUCAAGCUAUAAUAGAGUUCCAUAAUCUCUUCCCUGGUAUUUCUGUCCUCAAUUGCAGUGUAAUCCUCUAUUACAUCCUUCGAAGCGUACCUUAAAAAAUAUCUUACAUCUUAAUAACAGAUACCAAACACGUAGUAAAUUAUUUUCUCUCCAAAAA